rnacentral:rRNA from 1 species
AUCGAACGCUAGCGGGAUGCUUUACACAUGCAAGUCGAACGAGUGGCGGACGGGUGAGAAAUAUAUCGGAACGUGCCCAGUAGCGGGGGAUAACUAUUCGAACGAGUGGCUAUUACCGCUAACCAUUGGUGCGGGCGAUAUCGGAUUAGCUAGUUGGUGGGGUAAAGGCUCACCAAGGCAACGAGCCGUAGCUGGUUUGAGAGGGAGACCAGCCACACUGGGACUGAGACACGGCCCAGACUCCUACGGGAGGAAGCAGUGGGGAACUUUGGACAAUGGGGGAAACCCUGAUCCAGCCAUCCCGCGUGUAUGAGAAGGCCUUCGGGUUGUAAAGUACUUUUGGCAGAGAAGCGGUAUCUGCAGAAUAAGCACCGGCUAACUACGUGCCAGCAGCCGCGGUAAUAC